GACGAACGCUGGCGGCGUGCUUAACACAUGCAAGUCGAGCGGUAAGGCCCUUCGGGGUACGACGAGCGGCGAACGGGUGAGUAACACGUGGGUGACCUGCCCUUAGCUCUGGGAUAAGCCUGGGAAACUGGGUCUAAUACCGGAUAUGACCUCAUGACGCAUGUUGUGGGGUGGAAAGCCUUGUGCGGCUAGAGAUGGGCCCGCGGCCUAUCAGCUUGUUGGUGGGGUGANGGCCUACCAAGGCGACGACGGGUAGCCGGCCUGAGAGGGCGACCGGCCACACUGGGACUGAGACACGGCCAGACUCCUACGGGAGGCAGCAGUGGGGAAUCUUGCGCAAUGGGCGAAAGCCUGACGCAGCGACGCCGCGUGAGGGAUGACGGCCU
rnacentral:rRNA from 1 species